rnacentral:lncRNA from 1 species
ACAUAGAAAAUGGAGGACCCAGCCAGAGCAAAUCCAGCAAGUUCUUUCAUUCUUUAUCGCAGAUCUGCAAUCCGAAUCUCUAACACAUGCUCCUCAUCUACAGAAAAGCUGAGCAGAAUGUGUCUUCAUACGGUUCUCUAAACGUGCACUCCUCGACUACGAUCGAAGAUCAUAAUGUGUUCUCCAUGCAGUUCUCUCAACACACACUCCUCGGCCAUGGCUGAGAAUCGAUAC